GGGAGGAGAGUGCAUCUUCACAGGAACUGCUGUCAUAAAGCUCUUUUAUAUGAAUGGGUUGUAUGAGAAGUGCCAGGGCUUUGUUACCAAGGCUCACACUAAAUGUGUCCUGGCCACACAAACGAGUAUCAUACAACAUGGCAGCCAAGAGAACACCACUGUGGAAGCAUAUCUUUCAGACCCAGCGGGAAGUCUCCAAACUAAAAGCUUCUCUCGAAUAUCGCCCCAUCCAUCUGCUGUCCCAGCACCAGCCCAAGGAGGACUGGUUCCCCCAAAAGCCUGGGUCCUCCCAAGGUUUCUUCCAGCUUCUGGGAGUUUUACCUUGCCACUGUCGCCGAUGGCUUGCUUCUGGGGGCAUGAGGACAGUGUUCAUUUCUAUUUUAUACAUAAUAAAAAAAAUGGAAAAAAAAACCAUACAAGAACUUUUAACAUAUCAGCUGUUCUAUAUUACAUUUGUCAAUGAGGUGAACACAAACUAAUGUAUAUUUAUAUUUAUAUUUAUAUU
ensembl:lncRNA